GAUGAACGCUGGCGGCGUGCUUAAUACAUGCAAGUCGAGCGAAGCACUUUAACGGAAUUCUCCGGAAGGAAGGUAAAGUGACUGAGCGGCGGACGGGUGAGUAACGCGUGGGUAACCUGCCUUAUACAGGGGGAUAACAGUUAGAAAUGGCUGCUAAUACCGCAUAAGCGCACAGGGCCGCAUGGCCCGGUGUGAAAAACUCCGGUGGUAUAAGAUGGACCCGCGUCUGAUUAGCUGGUUGGUGGGGUAACGGCCCACCAAGGCGACGAUGCGUAGCCGACCUGAGAGGGUGACCGGCCACACUGGGACUGAGACACGGCCCAG
rnacentral:rRNA from 1 species